rnacentral:rRNA from 1 species
GACGUAGGGCGCGAGCGUUGUCCGGAUUUAUUGGGCGUAAAGAGCUCGUAGGCGGCUUGUCGCGUCGUCCGUGAAAACCUGUGGCUCAACUGCAGGCUUGCGGUCGAUACGGGCAGACUAGAGUUCGGUAGGGGAGACUGGAAUUCCUGGUGUAGCGGUGAAAUGCGCAGAUAUCAGGAGGAACACCGGUGGCGAAGGCGGGUCUCUGGGCCGAUACUGACGCUGAGGAGCGAAAGCGUGGGGAGCGAACAGG